rnacentral:miRNA from 1 species
CGAGGAAGGCGCUGAGAGAGA